CUUUUUAUAUGAUUAAUGAUGGUAAGUAAUGACAGAUGUGAGGGACAUCAUUCCUAAUUUUCACACAGUGUUUAUGAAGGCCUAUGGUCAGCCCUGCCUAUGCUGAGGUAGUGAUUGUUAUUGUGAGACCCAUGGACAUUUAGCCCACUCCCUUCGGGUCCCCGGAAUGAGGCACACAACUUAGCUUGACUGGAACUUUGACCACUUUAUCUGACAGACAUACUGUAUAAGGCAUUCCAGUCAUCUUCUCAAAUCCAUCUUCCAGAUUAUUUAGAGUUACCAUUAAUCCAAUUACAUAUAAAACAAUU